UUCCGGCCUCACGCGGCUGACUUCCGGAUUCUACUCCGCAUGCGCGGCUGGCGGGGUGGGCGGGAGGCGCCGCAGGGCCGGCCGGUCUUAAAGGGGCCGCGUCAGCCUUUCCCCCUCUGUCCCCGCCGCCCUCUCUCGCGGUUGCGGGGGGCGCAGAGCGGGGACCUUCCGCCUCCCUCCUCUCUGGCUAGAAACAUCCCUGACCCGCCCCCUGCGUGCAAUCAGCCAAGAUAUAGGAGGGGAAAGGGGAGGCACUCUGUACAUGCUCGGAGGAGUCGCUCCAUGCCGCUGCCUUCCAAGGGAGUCCUGCCUCUGGCUGACUUCAGGGCUUAGCCCUGCUGGUAUUGCUGCUGCUGCUGCUGCUGCUGCUGGCAUUGCUUAUCUGCCGGUGUUGAUGUUACAAGCACCAUCCAAUCGGUCCCAACCAAGCUGCAACCAGAUGGCUCCAAAUCACAAUGGCCUACCCAAUCAAGUCCCCAGAUGUUGUUGGACUACAACUCCCAUCAUCCCCUGCCACGAUGGCAAACCCAAGAUGGCGAACCCCUGGAUUAAGAGCAGCACUUUAAGCCGAAACAGCACGGGAGUGACAAGGACGCCUCACCUCAGACAACAGCCUGGCAGCCUCGUCCUGAACCAGUGGAAGCUUCCAAAGACUUUUCAAAGGCCGGCCCAGGUAUCGCUCGUUACAGCAGUCCAGCCGGGAUGUAACAAGGCAGGGAAUGAAUAUU